GACGAACGCUGGCGGCGUGCUUAACACAUGCAAGUCGAACGGAAAGGCCCUGCUUUUGUGGGGUGCUCGAGUGGCGAACGGGUGGGUAACACGUGAGUAACCUGCCCUUGACUUUGGGAUAACUUCAGGAAACUGGGGCUAAUACCGGAUAGGAGCUCCUGCUGCAUGGUGGGGGUUGGAAAGUUUCGGCGGUUGGGGAUGGACUCGCGGCUUAUCAGCUUGUUGGUGGGGUAGUGGCUUACCAAGGCUUUGACGGGUAGCCGGCCUGAGAGGGUGACCGGCCACAUUGGGACUGAGAUACGGCCCAGACUCCUACGGGAGGCAGCAGUGGGGAAUAUUGCACAAUGGGCGGAAGCCUGAUGCAGCAACGCCGCGUGCGGGAUGACGGCCUUCGGGUUGUAAACCGCUUUCGCCUGUGACGAAGCGUGAGUGACGGUAAUGGGUAAAGAAGCACCGGCUAACUACGUGC
rnacentral:rRNA from 1 species